UACGUAGGCAGCGAGCGUUGUUCGGAAUUACUGGGCGUAAAGAGUGUGUAGGUGGUGCUCUAAGUUUGGUGUGAAAUCUCCCGGCUCAACCGGGAGGGUGCAUCGAAAACUGGAGUGCUAGAGGAUGGGAGAGGCAAGCGGAAUUCCUGGUGUAGCGGUGAAAUGCGUAGAUAUCAGGAGGAACACCUGUGGUGUAGACAGCUUGCUGGACCAUUUCUGACACUGAGACACGAAAGCGUGGGUAGCAAACAGG
rnacentral:rRNA from 2 species